AAGGAAUCUGCCUCACUUUUAAAUAGCCCAGCAAGGAAUAGGCCAUCGCUCUGGCUCGUUAGAAUUCCUGGGUUAAGGGUUUGAUCACUGCUAUGAAGCUAGAGUCGUGGAGGGCAGAAAGCCAUUUCAAGGGGCUCGAGGAAGCUCUUUUCCUUAUUCUCCCUCAGGAUAAGAGAUGGUCACAGUUUCUACUGCUAUGGUUUAUCAUGAGAAUUACAGUGAUUCCAAAGUCCAUUCAUAGCUCACAGCCUGGCUCAAAAUGGGUAUGAGGCUUUUGGAUGGACAUGUGUUUUCGGCUCAUUUGGAUAAAUGCCAAGUGGUGUGAUCGCUGAAACGUGGUGAGAAAAUUCACAGGAAACUCGCGAGCCAUCUACCAGAGGAUCUGUGUUCUGCACUUGAAGCCAUCGAGUCCUUGUCACUCUGUAUCCGCACCAGCAUUUGGUGGUGACAGUGUUCUGAAUCCGGGCUGUUCUAACAGGUGUAAAGGGUAACGCAUUGCCAACUCUCUGAUAACCUACAAUUCGUUAUUUAAAUAUUGUUUUUUUCUCAAUUACCUUGCGGGUUUCUGUAGGAAGGAGGUGAGCUAGCACAAAGUGAUUAGCUCUCCGCAGCGCUGCUUGCCUGCGGCACAAGUCGGUCACAGAGAGUGAAGGGGAGAGAAGGCUAAGAGAUGGGUGUGCUGAUGAAUCUGAUCCUGUAGCCAUUUCAUGAAUACAAGCAUCAACAGACAG